rnacentral:rRNA from 1 species
AACGAACGCUGGCGGCGUGCUUAACACAUGCAAGUCGAGCGCGAAAGGGGGGUUCGCCCCCCGAGUAGAGCGGCAGACGGGUGAGUAACACGUGGGUAACCUGCCUCUGGGUGUGGAAUAACUACUCGAAAGGGUGGCUAAUACCGCAUAAGACCACGUCUCCUCGGAGAUGCGGUAAAAGGAGCAAUUCGCCUGGCGAGGGGCCCGCGUCCGAUUAGCUUGUUGGUGAGGUAAAGGCUCACCAAGGCGACGAUCGGUAGCUGGUCUGAGAGGAUGAUCAGCCACACUGGUACUUAGACACGGACCAGACUCCUACGGGAGGCAGCAGUGGGGAUAUUGCGCAAUGGGCGAAAGCCUGACGCAGCAACGCCGCGUGGGUGAAGAAGGCCUUCGGGUCGUAAAACCCUGUCAGAUGGGAAGAAACCUGGGAAACCAGCUGACGGUACCAUCAGAGGAAGCACCGGCUAACUCCGUGCCAGCCGCCGCAGUAA